rnacentral:rRNA from 1 species
AGUGCUAAGUGUUAGAGGGUUUCCGCCCUUUAGUGCUGCAGCAAACGCAUUAAGCACUCCGCCUGGGGAGUACGGCCGCAAGGCUGAAACUCAUAGGAAUUGACGGGGGCCCGCACAAGCGGUGGAGCAUGUGGUUUAAUUCGAAGCAACGCGAAGAACCUUACCAGGUCUUGACAUCCUCUGACAACCCUAGAGAUAGGGCGUUCCCCUUCGGGGGACAGAGUGACAGGUGGUGCAUGGUUGUCGUCAGCUCGUGUCGUGAGAUGUUGGGUUAAGUCCCGCAACGAGCGCAACCCUUGAUCUUAGUUGCCAGCAUUCAGUUGGGCACUCUAAGGUGACUGCCGGUGACAAACCGGAGGAAGGUGGGGAUGACGUCAAAUCAUCAUGCCCCUUAUGACCUGGGCUACACACGUGCUACAAUGGAUGGAACAAAGGGCAGCGAAGCCGCGAGGUGAAGCCAAUCCCAUAAAACCAUUCUCAGUUCGGAUUGCAGGCUGCAACUCGCCUGCAUGAAGCCGGAAUCGCUAGUAAUCGCGGAUCAGCA